rnacentral:rRNA from 1 species
ACUCCUACGGGAGGCAGCAGUGGGGAAUAUUGGACAAUGGGCGAAAGACCUGAUCCAGCCAUGCCGCGUGUGUGAAGAAGGUCUUCGGAUUGUAAAGCACUUUAAGUUGGGAGGAAGGGCAGUUACCUAAUACGUGAUUGUUUGUACGUUACCGACAGAAUAAGCACCGGCUAACUCUGUGCCAGCAGCCGCGGUAAUACAGAGGGUGCAAGCGUUAAUCGGAAUUACUGGGCGUAAAGCGCGCGUAGGUGGUUAGUUAAGUUGGAUGUGAAAUCCCCGGGGCUCAACCUGGGAACUGCAUUCAAAACUGACUGACUAGAGUAUGGUAGAGGGUGGUGGAAUUUCCUGUGUAGCGGUGAAAUGCGUAGAUAUAGGAAGGAACACCAGUGGCGAAGGCGACCACCUGGACUGAUACUGACACUGAGGUGCGAAAGCGUGGGGAGCAAACA